rnacentral:piRNA from 7 species
AAGAUCAAGUGUAGUAUCUGUUCU